UGCUAAAUUCAUGUAUAUUUUCCAUUCGAGUUCGUUGCAAAACAACAAAAUGCAAGAACUUACGAAACACAACUCCACUCUUGUGUGUACAAAAAUUUAAAACAAGCAUGAAGAAUCAUUAACAUGUCUCGGCCAACUGCUUCUCUAGCCUCAUAAUGCACUCCCCCAGCCUCAACUCGACCUUCAAUAAAAUAUUAUUUCAUAGUUAGAUUGAUAUCACAAUGAGCAUGAAGAAUCAUUAACAUGUCUUGGGAGUUGGGAAUAAAAUCAAACAUUAAUUACCAUCUUAAUGAGUUGCUCAAAUUGCUCUUCAUUUCACUCAUCUGUAAGCACAAGAAAUGGCAUACAUAUAUGAUAUAACUGAAUACAUUAUUUUGCUAGAAAAACAAACAAAAUUUAAAAGUUUCAUGCACAAAAAAGUGUGUUAAUGAGAAAUAAAAAUCAUA
rnacentral:lncRNA from 1 species